GUGGGCUCGGUGGGAGGCCUCCACCGCGGCGUGACGGACGGUGUAGUGGGCGGCCGGCCUCGGCGGCGUGACGGUCAGCCUCACCCGGUGGUGCGACGGGCGGCCUCACCAUGGAGGGGCGUUGCGGCCUUGACGGUGGUGGGCGGGUGGCUAGAUCGGGCUGGUGUGCUCGAUGGCGGUCGGCGCACUGGCAGAAGGAUUCACCACGGUGUACUCUCUUCCUUGUUGAUUUUUAAUUUUUGUAAAUUCGGUCUCUCUGUGCUGUUGGAUGCAUGGCGAUGA
rnacentral:lncRNA from 1 species